rnacentral:rRNA from 1 species
UACGGGGGGGGCAAGCGUUGUUCGGAAUUACUGGGCGUAAAGGGCUCGUAGGCGGCCAACUAAGUCAGACGUGAAAUCCCCCGGCUUAACCAGGGAACUGCGUCUGAUACUGGAUGGCUUGAGUUUGGGAGAGGGAUGCGGAAUUCCAGGUGUAGCGGUGAAAUGCGUAGAUAUCUGGAGGAACACCGGUGGCGAAGGCGACAUCCUGGACCAACACUGACGCUGAGUGAGCGAAAGCCAGGGGAGCAAACGGGG